CAAAUUAAAGCUUUGUAAGCAUUUUAGUUACAUUAAAAAGAUUAUUGGAAUACAAUAUAAUUUGA
rnacentral:tRNA from 1 species